rnacentral:lncRNA from 1 species
CGCGGCUAGGGUUUCGGGCGCGGCGGCGCCUCUUACUCCGGCGAGUUCAACCCAUCCUCCUUCCUCGUCCUAUCUCUCUCCCUCCCCGUGUCUAAUCUCUGGUGGGGUCUUCUCUUGUAGAUGUGCCGAGAAGAGGGAGAUCAACCAAGUCCUAGAUCCAGCACACCUCCAUGCCAUGGACCCUUGACGAACGAAGGUCGAGGAAGGCCACUGCGUCUCUGCUCGGCCACGAGAAGAUGACAUGGAGCUCGUAUUCCCGCUCAUCUGCUUGUCAAGGUCGCAUCUAUCUUCUCUGCUCCCCACUCUGAAAACUGAACCCCUUUCUUCCCUGUACAUUUGAUAGGUUGCAAUUUUGUCAUUCAACUGGAUAUAUGGAUGUAUUCAUUUUGUCUUGUACUAUAUUCUUGCUCAAUUGUUGUUUGUGUUCAAGUUGUACUAGUAGCAGUGGCACAAGUACAAGAAGGGUUUCCGAUUUCUCACUUGUUCAAAGAAUAAGUUCAGUCAAUCUAAUAUGUGAUUAGGCAACCAGGUUUACUGUAAUCAAGUUCAGUUUUUGUCGUGCUGCUGCACCAAGAUUUCCCCUUGACAAAUUUCUGUUGUAUCCUUGAUUGAUGCUGCACCAAGAUUUCCCCUUGACAAAUUUUUGUUGUAUCCUUGAUUGAAGCUGCACCGAGUUUUCUCACAUCUGCCCGAAGGUGUCCACCAACUUACAUAGGUGAAAACUGAACCUCUUUCUUUUGUACAUGUAUCUCCUAUUGGUCUACCUUGCAUUGGCCAAAGAGAGUGGUUUUUUGGCGCUAGGUAUGAUGCCGAGACAUUGAAUAUUUUCUGCAUGCGAAGAUACUUUUAGUGGUCGACCAACAUGCAGGUUGUAUCUGAAUGAAGAUCUCCAGAGAUAAAUUUGUUUUUUGAUAGGUUCGGUGUGCUUGUGAUUUCUUUUGGUUCCCUGUCAACUACUAUGGCUGCCGCCACAAGCCAUGAUGGCCAGGUCCAGCCUAUUUCUCAAUUCUCAUACUGCUGUCUGGCCUCUUCUCCUCUCCACCUUUACCCGGUGGAGAAUCAGUUGGGCAGAUCAAACCUCCUGCAUCCUAUUCCUGUUGCUGGAGACAAGAACUAUUAGUCCAUCGCUCCUGGCCAGGUGCUGGACGUGAUGCUAUCUGGCCGGAAGUAGUAGCAGACUCUCAAGCCAAUCCAUCGCAUGCAUGCAUCAAUUGAAUCCACCGUUGAUCAUCAGGGCACUGUCCCAUGCAUAUAUAAGUUGAUUCGGCAAGAAACAUACCAAUCUUAUAUCUGUAAAAAAAUAUUUCUAGGAGACCACAAUUCAGAGUAUAAUAUCUGCCGCAAACUUCUGCAUGAAACUUAUAUUUUUAUGCUAAUAACGAAUUAUAUGUGUAAGCUUUAACCUCGAUUUUUAUAAGCUUUAACCUCGAAUUGAUUCAUCACACUGGUUAUCUGGGGCGUUUAGUUAUCUCUGUGUUGCCACAAAACUAUGGUAUUCUAGAAAAUAUAUGUAAAAUUGAUUGUGCUCAAGGACAAGGGAGAAUUAAAGUGUCACAUUUAGAGCUGUAUUAUCAGAUUGAGCCGGUGCAUGAUUUCUAUAUACAAAUUUUUUUGUUCUUAUAUGUCCUUGGGACUUACUAUUUCCAUAUUUUCUCUUAGGAAUUUGUGAGCUGGAGUUCCAAAAUUUGGAGUUCUCCUGACUUUGAACAUUGCAUUGGGCGCAAAGUGUAGAACACAGAGGGUACUCCUCAUAAGAACACCUACAUGAACUUAUUUCCUUUGGUAACCUGCUCUGUGUAUGUCUUAGAAAAUAUAUCUAGGUGCAAUGAUAUGCACAACUUAGCAACGUUUGCAAAAGUAAAGAUUCAAAAGGUAGCACACUCAUGAUAACGAUACAUAUAAUCUUGCAUCCAUUCAAACGAAACUAUAAUCUUGCCUCCUGUAUUUAGAGUAGAAAUAUUCUUAAUUUAGUGUUUCUUGAACAUGGCCAGGGCAAUGGAUAAAAUCUACUCUGGAUAGUUGACAGAGGGAGUACAUGCUAAGUUGACUUUUUUCCUGUGGAUUUGCUUAUCGUGAAGAUGCUUGCAAGGAUGCAGAGGGAGCGGAUCAUUUGGAGAGACAGGAUGCCACUGUUUGGUGUUUUUAUGCAUUUUGGUUUGCUUGUAACUGUGUUUGCACUAGCUGGGAGCAAGUGACUUCAAGAAGUGUAGGUGUUUUAAUUGAAGGCAUGAAAAGCCAUGACAAUAUGUAUGCUCUUAUAGGAUGUGCUCUAAUGCCGCUGGUUUAUUAUAAAUAUUUGAUUAGUAAUGAUGUGUAAUG